CUAAAAAUCUGUCGCUCUUAGUGGAGCUGAGCGAGCGGGCAUCUUCGGGUGUCAGCGGCGGACGGGUGAGUAACGCGUGGGAACGUGCCUUCUGGUUCGGAAUAACUCAGGGAAACUUGAGCUAAUACCGGAUACGCCCUUUUGGGGAAAGGUUUACUGCCGGAAGAUCGGCCCGCGUCUGAUUAGCUAGUUGGUGGGGUAACGGCCUACCAAGGCGACGAUCAGUAGCUGGUCUGAGAGGAUGAUCAGCCACACUGGGACUGAGACACGGCCCAGACUCCUACGGGAGGCAGCAGUGGGGAAUAUUGGACAAUGGGCGCAAGCCUGAUCCAGCCAUGCCGCGUGAGUGAUGAAGGCCUUAGGGUUGUAAAGCUCUUUUAUCCGGGACGAUAAUGACGGUACCGGAGGAAUAAGCCCCGGCUAACUUCGUGCCAGCAGCCGCGGUAAUACGAAGGGGGCUAGCGUUGCUCGGAAUCACUGGGCGUAAAGGGCGCGUAGGCGGUCUUUUAAGUCGGGGGUGAAAGCCUGUGGCUCAACCACAGAAUUGCCUUCGAUACUGGGAGAC
rnacentral:rRNA from 1 species